UAAACAUGAUGUAAACAUAUUUUAAUUGAUAAAUCAUGAUAAUAAUAAUUAUCGAGCUUUUUAACACUGAAUAAA